rnacentral:misc_RNA from 1 species
GAUGAAGAACGCAGCGAAAUGCGAUAAGUAAUGUGAAUUGCAGAAUUCAGUGAAUCAUCGAAUCUUUGAACGCACAUUGCGCCCGCCAGUAUUCUGGCGGGCAUGCCUGUUCGAGCGUCAUUUCAACCAUCAAGCCCCCGGGCUUGUGUUGGGGACCUGCGGCUGCCGCAGGCCCUGAAAAGCAGUGGCGGGCUCGCUGUCACACCGAGCGUAGUAGCAUACAUCUCGCUCUGGGCGUGCUGCGGGUUCCGGCCGUUAAACUACCCUUUUAACCCAAGGUUGACCUCGGAUCAGGUAGGAAGACCCGCUGAACUUAAGCAUAUCAAUAAGCGGAGGU